GAUGAACGCUGGCGGCGUGCUUAACACAUGCAAGUCGAGCGAAGCGAUUUUAAGGAAGCCUUCGGGUGGAAUUAAGAUUGACUUAGCGGCGGACGGGUGAGUAACGCGUGGGUAACCUGCCUCAUACAGGGGGAUAACAGUUAGAAAUGACUGCUAAUACCGCAUAAGCGCACAGUGCUGCAUAGCACAGUGUGAAAAACUCCGGUGGUAUGAGAUGGACCCGCGUCUGAUUAGGUAGUUGGUGAGGUAACGGCCCACCAAGCCGACGAUCAGUAGCCGACCUGAGAGGGUGACCGGCCACAUUGGGACUGAGACACGGCCCAAACUCCUACGGGAGGCAGCAGUGGGGAAUAUUGGACAAUGGGGGAAACCCUGAUCCAGCGACGCCGCGUGACUGAAGAAGUAUUUCGGUAUGUAAAGGUCUAUCAGCAGGGAAGAAAAUGACGGUACCUGACUAAGAAGCCCCGGCUAACUACGUGCCAGCCGCCGCAGUAACAC
rnacentral:rRNA from 1 species